rnacentral:rRNA from 1 species
CCUACGGGAGGCAGCAGUAGGGAAUCUUCCACAAUGGGCGAAAGCCUGAUGGAGCAACGCCGCGUGGGUGAAGAAGGUCUUCGGAUCGUAAAACCCUGUUGUUAGAGAAGAAAGUGCGUGCGAGUAACUGUUCACGUUUCGACGGUAUCUAACCAGACAGCCACGGCUAACUACGUGCCAGCAGCCGCGGUAAUACGUAGGUGGCAAGCGUUAUCCGGAUUUAUUGGGCGUAAAGGGAACGCAGGCGGUCUUUUAAGUCUGAUGUGAAAGCCUUCGGCUUAACCGGAGUAGUGCAUUGGAAACUGGGAGACUUGAGUGCAGAAGAGGAGCGUGGAACUCCAUGUGUAGCGGUGAAAUGCGUAGAUAUAUGGAAGAACACCAGUGGCGAAAGCGGCUCUCUGGACUGUAACUGACGCUGAGGUUCGAAAGCGUGGGUAGCAAACAGGAUUAGAUACCCUUGUAGUC